UUUGGAGCCAGACUGCCUGGGUUCAAACUCUUCCUUAGUCACUUACUCACUGUGACAUCAAUAAGUUGUUUACCUCUCUGUGCAUCAUUUCAUGGAAUGGGCAUAAUGCUUACUUAAUCUCAGGGUGUUUAGUUGAUUGAUUAUUAUAUAUAAAAAUUUAGGCUAGUGACUGGCGUAUAAUCACUCAUUGGGGCACCUGGGUGGUUCAGUCUGUUGAGCAUCUUAACUCUUGAUAUCUGCUGAGGUCAUGAUCCCAGGGUCUUGGGAGCCCUGUGUCAGUCUCAGUGCUGAGUGUGGAGACUGCUUGGGAUUCUCUCUCUCCCUCUGCCUUUCUCCCCUGCUUGCACUGUCUCUCCCUCUCUCUCUAAAAGCAAGGGGGAAGGAAGGGGACACCUUGGUGGCUCAGUCGGUUGAGCAGUUGACUCUUAGUUUUGGCUCAGGUUGUCAUCUCAUGGUUCGUGAGUUCAAGCCCCACAUCAGGCUCCAUGCUGACAGUGUAGAGCCUGCUUGGGAUUCUCCUUCCCUCCCUUCCUCCCUCCCCCCCCCCCCCCGUGUCCCUUUCCUCCUUAUGUGCACAUGCUCCCUCCCUCUCUCUCUCAAAAUAAGUAAGCUUAAAAAAAAUUAAACAAAUAAAAAAUAAAUUAAAAAAAUAAAGGGGCACCUGGGUGCCUUAGUUGAUUGAGCGUCCGACUUUGGUUUGGGUCAUGAUCUCAAUGGUUCGUGAGUUCAAGCCCCACGUUGGACUCACUGCUACCCACUUUGGAUCCUCUGUCCCCCUUGCUCUCUGCCGUUUCCCCACUUGUGCUCUUUCUCUCAAAAAUAAAUAAAACAUUAAAAAAAAUUGUUUGAGCCACCUUCAUUUGUGUCUUGGAUGUAGAAAACAGCUGUUUUUCACACUUCUAAAUUCUUCGCAUAUAAUUUGAGCACUAACAAUAUGCAAAUUAUAUUUCCUUAUUUGAGAUAUAGUCCCUGCACUCAAGGAAUUUGUAUUCUAUUGAAGAAGGAAGGAUAAAAAUACAGGAGAUAACAAAAGCUUACCCUUACAGGCCAAUGAAAGCUAUGGAUACUCCCUUCCUUUUCUGAUAUUCUGUAAAUCAAAGUGUCCGAUGAAGGCAUAGAGACUGAGGAGAAGGGAUCUGAGCCAUCUUUGUGGAGAAGGGACUUGCUUGGAUAGAGUAAAAGCAGAUAGAUAUUCCAACCAAGGCAGUAGGCAGAAAUGAGUACAUAAUAAGAAGGCUACAUAGAUAUUAUUAGAUGAGGAUGUAAGAGGAGCUUUUCACUGGUUGAGUAGCUCAGAGUGUUGAUCCAUAGGUUAGUGGCAACCUAAAGGCAGGACUAAGGAGAUGAUUCUGUAUCUUUUUUAUGUUCUAGGACUUUUUAAAAAAGUCAACUGAGAUUAACACAUAAUUAUUAAUAUGUUCCCCUGGUCUAUUACUUAGUUUUCAACACAUUUUGCCAUUUUUAUAUCAGCCGCCUCUCUUUUUUAGGGUUUGAACAUUUUACAAAUCCCAGACCUGCAUAUCAUUUUACCCACAAAUAUUUCAGCAUUUAUCUCUAGCUGAUAGGGAUGCAUUAAACAUACAUGCUUGCAUGUGAAGCCACAGUAUCAUUAUCACACUUGACAGAAAAAACAAUAAUUCUUGAAUAUUAUCUAAUACCCAGUUCAUGUUCAGUUUUUCCAGUUGUCUCAAAAGUGUCUUUUUUUUUUUAAUGUUUGUUUAUUUUUGAAAGAGAGUGCAAGUUGGGGGGGGGGGGGGGCGGGCAAAGAGAAAGACACAGAAUCUGAAGCAGGCUCCAGGCUCUAAGCUGUCUGCUCAGAGCCCAACAUGGGGCUCGAACCUAUGAAGUGCGAGAUCAUGACCUGAGCCGAAGUUGGUUAACUGACUCCAGGUGCCCCUCAAAAAUUUCUUUUUAGGGUUAGUUUGUUAAAAUCAGUAUUUAAACAAGGUCUACAUAUUACAUUUGGUUGGUAUGUCCUUUAAAAUCUGUAUUUGUAACAGUCCUCUCCUCUUUUAAAAGUGCUGUUUAUUUGUUGAAGAAACUAGAUUAUUUCUUUAAUAGUAUGUCUCACAUUCUGGCUCACGUUUUUAUGAUGUCUUUUUAACAUAUUCUUUCAUUUCCCCGUAUUUAUGUGGUACUCGGUUCUAGAAGCUUGAUUCAGAUGUUUGUUUGUUUUGAUAAGACCGUUUCAUAGGUGCUAAAUAUUUCAUAAUAAUUCUUAUUAUAUCACAUUGAGAGGCCCAUAAUGUCUGGUUGUCUCAGUGGGUUCAGAUGUCAGCCUGUCCCUCCAUUGGCUGUCAGUGAUGUAAGCUGCCUGGAUCUUUUGCUUCAUAGUGGUUGCAAGACGUUGAUUUUCCAGCUCUUACAAUUUCUCCUGUGUUUAUUCAAUGGAAUUUUUCUGUAAAGAACUCUUAGUCAUAUAUGCUUUAAAGAAAUCACUGUAAUAUAAAGGAAAAAUAAGAAUGAAAUGAUGUAUAAUAAAAUAAUGUGUCUUUCAAGAUGUAAAUGCUCAGGCAUAAUUAUAUUAGAGGAAAUAAUGAGGAGUUUGUACCAAUAUAUAGAAUCACUGCGAAUGUGACAGCUUCAAAUGCAAAUCCUUAACAGACAUCUUGGCAGUUCAGAUACCUUAAACAAUGUUGCCAUUGAUGCUGUUCCUUUUUGAACAACUCACAGUGUCAAGUUCUACACAAUUACACGAGCAAUUGUUACUGGUGAUUUCAAUGUGUGUAAAAAUCAUGCAAAAAGUAGUUAAUAUCUAUAUGUAAAAUUGACCUAUCUUCUGAGUUCAGGCCAUUAUAAACAGUUUUUCCAUUGAGACAUUUUAUUUACUUUUUUUUUUUUUAAGUUUAUUUAUUUAUUUUGAGAGACAGCACGAACAGGGGAGGGACAGAGAGAGAGAGGAAGAGAGAGAAUCCCUAACAGACUCUGCACUGACAGUACGUAGCCCCACUCAGGGCUUGUACUCAUGAAUUGUGAGAUCAUGACCUGAGCCAAGAUCAAGAGUCAGAUGCUUAACCAACUGAGCCACCAAGGAACUUUUUUUUUUUUUUUUUUUUUUGAGAGAGAGCGCAAGUGCAAGUGGAGGAGAGGGGCAGAGAGUUUUAAGCAGGUUCCACACUCAGUACAGAGCCCGACCUGAGUCCAGUGUGAGUCCAUGACCCUGGAAUCAUGACCUGAGCCAAAAUCAAGAGUUGGAUGCUCAACCAACUGAGCCACCCAAGCACCCCUACUUUUUUUUUUUUUUUUUUUUUUAAGUAAACUCUACACCCAACCUGGGGCUGGAACACAACCCUGACAUCAAGAGUCACGUGCUCUACUGACUGAGCCAGCCAGGCACCCCUCCAUUGGGACAUUUUAAAGUCAUGGGAAAAGUGGGACAGUUUUUCACUGUGUAAUAUUGUCCAUCACAUUACAAGUUUCUAGAAUCCCUGGCCAUUGACCUCCCACAUGUUGAGGUAAAUACCCAGUCAUUGUGAUAACCAAAUUUUCAAAAUGUCCUCUCAGAAGUAAUGUUACCCUCUUUAAGAAUCUACAUUAAGUGAAUAUAUUAAGGCAGAAAAUCAAAUAACUACUACAAGUAAACAUUUGAAAGUGAGAGAUAGGGGCGCUUGGGUGGCUCAUUCAGCUAAGCAUCUGACUCUUGAUUUUGGCUCAGGUCAUGAUCUCACAGUUUGUGGGAUCAAGCCCUGCAUCCUGCCCCAUGCUGAUAACACAGAGCCUGCUUGGGGGAGUCUCUUUUCCUUUUUCUCUGCCCCUCCCCUGCUCACGCGCUCUCUCUCAAAAAAAGUAAACAUUAAAAAAAUUUUUUUAUUAAAAAAGAAAAGAUAAAAUACAUCUCUUUUUGCUAAUACUUUAUGCCUGGCAAACCUAAGGGACUCUUAAAAAUUAUUAGAAUUAAUGAGAUAAUUUAGUAAGUGUUUAUAUACCUAGAAGUGAGAAUUGCUGGAUCAUAGGGUAUGACUAAUUUUCAUUUAACAUAUUCUGUUGCACUUUUUUCCCCUCAUUGCUUCUUCCUGAUUAUUGUCAGUCUUAAAGAUAUGAAACCUUUUUGAUAUGAUAGGACUUUUUUCCCAGUCACAUUGGCCUUGUAUAUGUGUGGUGCCUUGGCUCCUCCAAAAGAUUUUCAUUUUUGUUGUAGAAGACAUUGCUCUGACUUUUCUUUAUGCUUUCUGGAUUUCAUAAGGCCCAAAAGGUCACUUUUUUUUUUUUAAGAUUUUAUUUUUAAGUAAUCUCUGCACCCAACAAUGGGGCUCAAACUUGCAACCCCAAGAUUAAGUCCCUGCUCUACCUACUGAGCAAACCAGGCACCCCAAAGAGGUCACUUUUUUGGCCAUUUGCCAUGCCCAUAAUUUUCUGUUUAUUAGCUUGCUUGCUUUUAGACAGAAAAGGUAAAAAAUAAAUUGAGGGAGUGAGUUAAACACAUACAUGUGGGAAGUGGGGAAAUUGAAUGUAUGUGCUUUAGAGAGAGGAGGGGGACUUAGAGGUGGGAAAUACAUCACAGAGUAAGACUGAGAGCCCAGAAGGGGAAGGAGCUUGUAGGAGAAUUGUUGACCACUGGCCUGUUUGGUUAUUAACUGCAGCUUGCUUAUUUGACCCCGAAUUUAGCAAGAAAUCGAUUUUUAUAACACCCAGAAAACACAUGCGUAAUGGAAACACAAGUUUCAUGAAACUACCCUAUUUGCAUUGCACUCUGAUAAUUUUCUAUUGCUUUUUCAAGAAAUUGUGCUUAUGAUCAGUGAUUCUCAACCCUAUCAGUGCCUCAUUUAUUUGUAUAAUAAAUAUUUUAACACAGUUGAUUAUUCUGAAAUAAAGUUAAUUGAUAAGUCAUCAACUACCUUAUAUGUUAAAGUUAAGUACAUUGUUGAGUGCCUACAUCUACUUACAGUAAAUACUUUUGGACUUACAAGAAAUAAGAUCAGAAAACAUACCCUAUAAAAAGUAUAGGAAAAUGAAAGAGUUGAGAUCUAUGUAGAUAGUAGAAUAAAAACUGUUAGAAUAAAUAAAAAGUGAAAUAAGAGAAAGAGGGAAAUUUUUAAAAUAGGGAAAAUAUAAAGAGAGAAAUAAUUUUACUUGAUAUAGGGAUAACAUAAGACAAAUUAGACUAUCUUACUGAAUAAAUAAAAGUAUCACUAGGGGCACCGGAGUGGCUCAGUCCAUCAAACGUCCGACUUUUGAUACCGGCUCAGGUCAUGAUCUCACAGUUGAGAGGUGGGUAGCACUGUAUACUCAUCAAUGAGUUUGUCGUUUAUGAGUAUAGUGUCAAAAUAAUUCCCUGUGAAAUGACUUGGCAUGAGACCAGGAAGUUGAAGUCUCAUGGAAAACCUAGUGGAACACCCACCAUUAGCAACCUACAAUCAGCUUCUAGUCUUCAACCCCCGCCUGGGGAGCAAAUUCUUUGGUAAACAAUACGGAGUUGAGGCUAGCCUGGAAAAAGAAACAGCGGCUGUGUGGGAGGCUUUGGGAGGCAUUAUUAGAGUAAAAAAGAAAAUAACAGCCCCAGAUAAAGUUUAACAUUUAAUUUUCACAAACAUGGAUUUCUAAUCAUUCUGCAACAAAAAGUUAAAUAUGUAUAGGACAACCGUGAUGUGAAAUAUGUUUAAUGUUAAUACAAUUUAGAAAGAACCUUCUAUUUCGUAAGUCCCUGCUAAAUCAUGUUUGGAAAUAAAUAUAUUCCGAAUAGUCUCUAUUACCUAUUUGAAAAUUAUAGCUGCAAAAGCACUGUGGUACAGGUAUGCGGUGGUAGAAGCUCCAUCAUUGCAAACAGCUUCGUCAUCAGAUUUUCUGAAAUGCUAAACAGUCUUUUGUAAAGUUAUAAAUGAAGCAAAAUGGACUUUUCUUAACUUAUGGAUGGUGGCAUACCUGGAAAAUCAGUGUUUUUAAAGCUGCAGAAAUAUUUUGUGUUUAUGGGGAAAAUGGAGUUUAGUCGUAUGAUUAGAUAAUUUUAAAGGUUGUUAUUAUUAUUUUAUUUCCUACAUGAAUGUCUCCUGGGAAAUUUGGCCUAGCUUAUUGGGAUGUUGAACAGUUCUUUACUGCAUUUCCAGACACCUAGUAUCUUUGGUGCUUUCCCCCCAAUAAACUUCAGUAGUAGCCCCGAUCAUUGUGAUGAACAAAAAAAUACCCCCACAGAGUUCCAGUAUGCCCCCUGGGAGUGGUACCUCCAAGGAGAGCUAGUGUGCGUAAACUGAUUUCAUUGGGUCAUGACCUCUGGUUUGAAAAACACAGAAGGCUUUUGCAUCUUCCUCAACACUAGCAGAAGAAUCAAUUGCAACAUUAUUGGAAAUGUAAGAUUACUUCCUAGUGUUGAUGGAUCUGCUUCAGUUAGCUUUGUUCUUUACAUUCUGGCUUUCAGACUCCAAGGUAGAUUUUAGUGACCUCCAGUACAAAUGAUACCAGUGUCCCGUGAAAUAGGCAGAUAUCCUUUCAAAGGCAUAUUUCAGUUUGUCUAAUCUCUGAACAUACCCCACGCAUGCCUUGUUAGAGCACUUACUACACUAUUUGAGGAUCAUUUGUUGAACCAUCUGCCUCCUUCGUUUUUUUUUUUUAAUAACCUUUUAAUUGUGUAGUAAUUUCAGAUUUAUGGAAAAGUUGCAAAGAUAGUAUAGAGAUUUCCCAUUUACCCCUCACUCAGUUUCUGCUAAUGUCAACGUGUUACCAUGGCAUAUUUGUCAAGACUACUAACCUGACGUUGGUGCGUUUAUUACUGAACUGGAGAUUUACUUGAAUUUUUACCAGUUUUUCCACUAAUAGCCUUUUUCUGUUACAGGAUCCAGUAUAGGGUAGCACAUUGCAUUUAGUGCUUCCUGGUUUUGACUUCAGUAGCUGCAGAGAACAAGUGCAUAAAUCCUUUGCCAUUCUGUCAUUAUACUGUAUUCGUUUCUCAUGUUAAAACAAGACACCCAAGGGGCACCUGGGUUGAGCAUUGGACUCUUAGCUCAGGUCAUGAUGUCACAGUUCGUGGGUUUGAGCUCCUCAUUGGGCUCUGUGCUAAGAGCAACGGGAGUCUGCUUGGGAUUUUCUCUGCUUCUCUCUCAGCACUUGUCCUGUGUGUGCGUGCAUCCAUUCUCUCUCUCUCUCUCUCUCUCUC